rnacentral:lncRNA from 1 species
UCAGUUGAAGAUUGUUCACGAAGCUUCCAAAAUCAGUUACCGGUUCCUUCCCUUUUUCCCAUUUUUUCCCGAUUCUUCCCUUCUUUCCCUGUUCCUAUUCUUUUAAGUUUUUGGACUUACCCUAUAAAAAGGGGUAUUUUGUAAUGAGAAAAGUUCAAGUGGUGGGUGACAGACACCGCUCUCGACUUUGCUCUCUACCUUGCUUUAGACUUUCAGUUUUCAAUUCUUGC